rnacentral:rRNA from 1 species
AUUGAACGCUGGCGGCAUGCCUUACACAUGCAAGUCGAACGGCAGCAUGAUCUAGCUUGCUAGAUUGAUGGCGAGUGGCGAACGGGUGAGUAAUACAUCGGAACGUGCCCUGUAGUGGGGGAUAACUAGUCGAAAGAUUAGCUAAUACCGCAUACGACCUGAGGGUGAAAGUGGGGGACCGCAAGGCCUCAUGCUAUAGGAGCGGCCGAUGUCUGAUUAGCUAGUUGGUGAGGUAAAGGCUCACCAAGGCGACGAUCAGUAGCUGGUCUGAGAGGACGAUCAGCCACACUGGGACUGAGACACGGCCCAGACUCCUACGGGAGGCAGCAGUGGGGAAUUUUGGACAAUGGGCGAAAGCCUGAUCCAGCAAUGCCGCGUGUGUGAAGAAGGCCUUCGGGUUGUAAAGCACUUUUGUCCGGAAAGAAAUGGCUCUGGUUAAUACCUGGGGUCGAUGACGGUACCGGAAGAAUAAGGACCGGCUAACUACGUGCCAGCCGCCGCCGUAA